rnacentral:misc_RNA from 1 species
UUAAAUUAAAAAAAAAAACUUUUGGUAAGAAACUAUCAGUUUCUAGUAGCAAUUGAUUUAGUAAUCGAAAUCGGUUGCUAAUAGCAAUCAAAACAUAAUAGUUGCAAAAAAUUUGGUGUCAUUAAUUUUAUAAUUUUGUAACCAUUUUGUAAAUUGGUUCAGUUGCAAAAAAUUUGAUAUCCUUAAUUUUAUAAUUUUGCAACGAUUUUGCAAAUGGGAUUUAGCAACCAAAAGGUUAGUUGCUAAUUUAAAAAAAUUAUA